AGCAGCCGCGGUAAUUCCAGCUCCAAUAGCGUAUAUUAAAGUUGUUGCAGUUAAAAAGCUCGUAGUUGAACUUCGGGGUUUACCCAUUGGUCAGGCUUAAUUGUCUGUACUGGUGAGAUAAAUCUCUACCUUCUGAGGAACUUUCAUGUCAUUAAUUUGGUGUGAUUGGAAAUCAGGACUGUUACUUUGAAAAAAUUAGAGUGUUUAAAGCAGGCUAACGUCUGAAUACAUUAGCAUGGAAUAAUGAAAUAGGACGGACUGAUUCUAUUUCGUUGGUUUCUAGGAUCACCGUAAUGAUUAAUAGGGAUAGUUGGGGGCAUUAGUAUUCAAUUGUCAGAGGUGAAAUUCUUGGAUUUAUUGAAGACUAACUACUGCGAAAGCAUUUGCCAAGGAUGUUUUCAUUAAUCAAGAACGAAAGUUAGGGGAUCGAAGACGAUCAGAUACCGUCGUAGUCUUAACCAUAAACUAUGCCGACUAGGGAUCGGACGAAGUUAAUUUUAUAAUGACGCGUUCGGCACCUUAAC
rnacentral:rRNA from 1 species